ACUUUUCUGUAUGUAACAAAGUGCCGUUGCCUUUACAGAAAUAGAAUCUACUUGGCGUCAACAGCUUGGCUUUCUCCAGUCUCCUGAGAUGAGAAAGAAUAUCCCUUUGCUCCUUAUUUCCAGAUGAGUUGUCCUAUUGCAUUACUCUGUCGGAGUACUGCUGGCCUUCAAUAUCUCCUCAUCUCAAACAACGCUGGAAAUGAGUUGUACUUCACUACAGAAGCUAACAGUGUUAUGCCAGUAAUCACUUCAAGAAUACUAUUUACCAUCUACCAAGAGAAAGCUGAGUCUGAAGAUACCUAACCAGGCUGAAGGCAGAAGAAAUGGAUGGCCUAGAUGGGAGCUGGAGGAACCUUCAUCGCUGCAGCUUCAGAAGAUCAAAACGGUGCAUGGGAGAAGAGGCCAGAAGACUAAAAUAUUUCAGUAAAACUGGGGAAACUUCUGCUCAUUGAAUAAUUUCCUUAAAUAAUCUGUUCUCCAAGUAUUGCUUGUAUUUUUUUUUAUAUACUUUUUUUAUAUUUAGUACAGAAACUUCUGAUAGCUCAUUAGCUUGAGUAAGUUUUACAUAUCCUUGCUGAGCCUUUCUGAUGUGUUCCUUGUUGCCAGCUCCCUUUGAUCUUCAGGAUAUGCAUGUUCCACCUUGCACCCACAGCACAAAGUUCUGCACUGUGAGUCUUCUCCAAGAAGAGUUAGUCUGCUGCAGACCUCAGCAGACAAGAAAACAAGAAUAGCUUUUCUUCUGCUGACCAACUCUUGUCUUGCAAAAGAUGCAAAAACUGUUGUCUUUAGUAAGAGUCUGAGUGCUGAGAUUUAUAGUUUAAAAUCCAAUGUAUACAUUAAAUACUUAGUUAAAUUAUAGAUACAGGAGUACAGCUUUUAAGAGAUCAAAAUUAAUCCAUAUUCUUUAUCAGCACUGUCAGAGGCUCUGAUGGAGAUAUUAUAUCCUGAUUUGGGCACCAUGUUUUAAAGGAAGACUGGAGGUAUUCUUCAGGAAAGAAUAGAACAAUCAGAAAUAGAGAAAACAUGAGGAAAGUGUGAAAGAAGAGUUGAGCAACUGGAGAAAGGAAUACGUGUCAGGGAGGGGAGAGGAAAAAGGAUGACAUAACUUGUGUUAUAUGCGUUAAAGAAUCUUGCAAACAGGAAUGACCAAGCUGUUAUCUGUGUACCUAAUAGAUAGGACAAAUGGAAAUGGUGUUAAAACAUAUAAGAAAGAUUCACUUUAAAAGUAUAUUGCUUACUGACUUGCUGAAUCUUCAUUACCAAAGAUUUUCAGGAAUGAAUUAGGAAUGGCACAGUUAGAGUU
rnacentral:lncRNA from 1 species